rnacentral:rRNA from 1 species
AGCCUUAAGUUUUUAUUUAAGGUAAUGCCUGCCCAGUGCUAUGAUUUGUAAAUGGCCGCAGUACCUUGACUGUGCUAAGGUAGCAUAAUCAGUUGGCUUUUAAAUGGAGUCGGGAAUGAAUGGAUUUAUAGGGUGGAACUGUCUCUACUAUAUUCUAUUGAACUUAAUUAUUUAGGUGAAAAUACCUAAUCUUUGUUAAAAGACGAGAAGACCCUAGGAGUUUUCACUAGAUACAAUUUUGUAUUGUUAAAUGUUUUUGUUGGGGCGACAUAUGAACAAAAUAAAAACUUCAUUAAUAUUAUAUGCCGACUUAUUGUAUGUGUAAUUAAACUACCCUAGGGAUAACAGCGUUAUUCUUUAUAGAGCUUGCGACCUCGAUGUUGGACUAGGAAUUGGGUUGGCUAGCCGCCAAUUUUUAUUGUUCU